CAUCGUCGCCUUUGCUCCAUGCGUUGUUGCUGGUGCCGAGUGCGGAAAUUGGCCCCGUGUGCCCUCGGGCAUAGUCGGUCGAAGAGUGGGAAGUCGACAAUCGUCGGGCACGAUGGGUGUUGGUCGCCGUGAGCGGGAACAGAACGUCGUCCUCGUCGUUUGGAGAUGAGUUCUCAAGAGACCCUGUGUGUUUGUGGCAUCGGGCGAAAGUGCCGUGUCCAUCAACUU
rnacentral:misc_RNA from 1 species